rnacentral:rRNA from 1 species
GAUGAACGCUGGCGGCGUGCUUAACACAUGCAAGUCGAACGAUGAAGCCCAGCUUGCUGGGUGGAUUAGUGGCGAACGGGUGAGUAACACGUGCGCAACCUGCCCCUCACUCUGGGAUAAGCGCUGGAAACGGCGUCUAAUACUGGAUAUGUCCCGUCACCGCAUGGUGUGCGGGUGGAAAGAUUUUUCGGUUGGGGAUGGGCUCGCGGCCUAUCAGCUUGUUGGUGAGGUAAUGGCUCACCAAGGCGUAGACGGGUAGCCGGCCUGAGAGGGUGACCGGCCACACUGGGACUGAGACACGGACCAGACUCCUACGGGAGGCAGCAGUGGGGAAUAUUGCACAAUGGGCGGAAGCCUGAUGCAGCAACGCCGCGUGAGGGAUGACGGCCUUCGGGUUGUAAACCUCUUUUAGCAGGGAAGAAGCGAAAGUGACGGUACCUGCAGAAAAAGCACCGGCUAACUACGUG